UGUGACUUUUCAUUUACUCUUGAAAACUAGACCAUUUUUCAUUUGACCUCCAAACAAAGUCAUCACCUAAAGAACACACCUUCAGAAGGAAAAGCAUCGGAACAGAGACUGUUUUCUUGGAUUAAUCUUAUGAAACGGAAAUUCUGGGGGACUCCCAUGGGUGUUCAAUCUUGCUUAUUUCUCACCAAGCUCUAGUUUCUGAUUCAUGCAACACUUGCGAUGUAAUGUGAUAAAGUAGAGAAAUAAGAAGAAUGUCACGGUUCCCAAAAGCGCGUGUGAUACUUACUCCAAAUAAUUCCGUCUCAUCGGAAAUAAAAAGAUCACAACUCAGAGCAAAGCAUGGAUUCUUAAUAAUUGCACGAACGCCCCUUUUGGCUGUCAACACUCAUUCUACAUCCGCCGAGUCUCUACCCUUGCACGGACAUCAAAACCAUAUUCCCUCCUACUUACAUUCCUCUCCCGUAUCCGCUUUCUCUCCCCCACCGUUGUCUCCUCCGUCGGUUUCAAAAUUGGAGAAUUUCUUCUGUUUUGGCCGCAAAUAUUUUAAUGCGAUACUCUUCAUUAAAGACCGUGGCCGGAAGUACUGUUUAGAAUUUGCAUUCAUCUUUAACUCUCUUUUGUUUGAUGGGUUUUUCUUUCCCUAUAGAUGAACCCGGGAAACAGGUAAAGAGCGCCUUCAGAAUGAAGAAUACAAGCAGAUCCCAUGUAGCUUUCAAGGUGUUACUUUAAUUAUUUUUCCAUUGCAGGCCUACUUUCACUUUUUCUUCUUUCAAUUAUUCUUAUAUCGAUUUCUUACUUCUUAAGUCCCAACAAGCCGAUCGUACGGAAAACGCUUAACUCAACGUCAGUGCAUAUGAUUCUGUUCUUCCAUGUACCUUUCUCAAAUUCCAUGCAUGUUAAUUAUUUGUUAUUUUUUUUUCUCGGGUAAUUAAUGUUUUUGGGAACUUUAUUAAAAGAUAAAGAUAGUUUCAGCGAAUCCAUCUAACAAACUGCUCGUCUCGUAGUAUAGUUUGUCCCGGUGGUCUGCUUGAUCAUCUUAAAUUGUGAAAAUUUGCAUUCAAAAUUGUUUUCAGCUUCUUGUAAAUUUGUGCUAAGAACAAGGUAGUAUGGGAUCUCUUUGUCCACGGAUUGGAAUGAGAUAACGAAUGUGAUACUUAAGAGGCUUGACUCUCUCACCCCAAUAACUAACUUUUGGAUGUGGUUCUUCAAGGUGCUUAAGUACCUAAUAAUGGCAUCAAAAUCAGCUGUUGACGUUUUGAAGUGGAAUUGUGGAGGGUUCUGAUUGGGUGUGGCCAAGUGAAGUACCAUCAGGACAUCAUGGAAAGUUUUUAGGAACCAAGGUAGUAUAGGAUUCCUUUGUCUCACAUUGGUUAGGAUGGGAUGAUCAAUGUGGUACUUAAGUGAUUUGGCUCUUCCACCCUAAUAGUUGACUUUUUGGAGCGUGGUUCCCUAAGAUGCUUAAGUACUUAACAAGUUGUUCGGUUGAGGCAAUCAAAUUUGUUGAAGGUUUUAUCUGCUAAUAGGAAUCAGGAGAUGUCUCUACAGAAGAUGAUGUGAAACAAUGAUGUUCCAGCUCAUUUGCUCAUUCCUGUGGAUAAAAUUCUUUAUUGAAGUUAAUCCAUGUCACAAGUGGUGAGAUUUGGGCAUUUACUGAGGACCAAAUGGUGGAAUUAUGUUAUGUUCUAACACUUACAACCAUUUUUUUUUCCUCGAGGGCAAAAGGCUGCUUAGCUUGUCGCAUAGUUUAAACUACUAAGAUGACGUGAAAGUUCUCUAAAAAAUUUGUAGAAGCAAUUGCAACCUUUCCUAAACUUCUGUCGAGCUAAAUUGUACAAAAGGCUUAGAAGGAAUGUGAACCUACCCAGAUGUUCGAUAUCAGCAUGGAUGCAAAAAGUUUGUAGUUCUUCGGAUAGAUUGAGUUCUGCAAGCCUACGAUAUUAGCUUCUCUGGAGAAAUCAAGUGAUAUAAACAGGCUUUUAAUAGACCGUCUUUUUUUAUUUGGUCUAAUAUGAUCCAUCGGUUGCAGCAGAAUAGUGAUGCUAAGGGAUUGAGUAGUUCAACUUGAAUUUUAUUGUUCAUCUGUGACGGUCUUUCCAUGGAGAAAGAAAUGUGAAGUUUUAAUUCUAUAAUAUUGGUUGCGCAUGGCAUGGCAAUCGCGGUACAGACAUGCAAAUAAAAGAAAUUGUGUAAGUUAUUGGCUUUUGCAUUUCUUUAAUUUCUUUGUUUUCUUCAUUUGUCACCUUUAGAUUUUCCUCUAUGUGUAGACGUGAAUUACCGUUAGUGCAAAAGCUUCUCAUGGAAAGUUUCUGCAAGUUUCUUCAUGUGCCUUGUUUUUCCCUUCUUACUGGUUUUUAUUCCACAUUGGGCUCCAACACGGCCCAUCCCUGCGUCUUGCGCUUCUGUUUAAUAAUUAUAUCUAAGAAUCGUGUAACAAUUUUGGAAUUCAAUGUUUUGAGAUCCUACGGCACAAUCAUUUUCUAGGAAGUUAUUGUCUUCUGAGGAUUAAAGAAUCUAUAUCUUUUUAAUCUUUCAUUUCCCGUUCUCCCUCCGGUUUGGUUUCUAAGAGUCACUGAAUAAGAUUCAUUUUUCUAAUAGUUUAUUUGAUGCACUGUUUCCGAGUAAGAAUCUAACAGUGACAUUAUUUGCUGCCUAUAAUUAUAGUUUCUGUCGCAGGGUGCUAGUGUUGGAACUACAUAGACCGUUAAAAUUGUCAACCGUUCUUAUUAGGAUAGAGGGUCCCUCAUUUACUAAUUGUGAAAUUGAUUUUUGCUUCCCUUCAAGAGUCUUGCCACUAUCUUAAUUAAAUCUGCUUAUUCAAAUUCUUUUUAUCUAUUGAGCAAUUUUGGUUUUUUCGGUAUAUUUAUCCUUACCUUUGUCAUUUGAACAUCAAUUUUUACUGCCUUAGAUUACUUUAAAUUUUGAUGAGUUUAAUUCAUGCAGAGGAAAACAUAAGUUUCUUGCACAUUUAUAUUCUGCUUUUAUUGUGCUAGUUUAUUUUUGACGAUGUGGCCUGUGAAAGGACUCAACAUUGGGUGUUAUUAUAAAUACUUUGACGAACUAAUAGUGGAUGUUGUAUUUAGAAUUCUUGUCUAGGUACUUCUAAUCUUUACCUUACACUAGAUGAACACGGAUGAACUGCUCAGUUCACAGAAGAAAGACUAUGUGGGGGCAUUUUUAAGUUGUGCUUAGGUGUUCGUGCUGUAAGGACCCACUGGCUAUCCUAUCAAGCGACAAGAAGCGAUGGGCUGAAAGGAACUAGAAACAAAUAUUUAUAUGAAUUGCAAGCACUUAGCUUAGCGAUGGAAAAUCGCUGCUGUGGAAUCAUAAAACCCUUUCUUGUCAUCUUCAUGAUUUUUAAAUCUCUUUUUGGGCCAUCAUGUCAGGUAGUUGGGUUGGGGAGGCAGGCCAUAAUGCUGUUUAUGAUCCUUUUGUCGGCGGAAAACAUGCAUGGAACGAAUUACGUGUCGAUAUGAGGCAAAUUAGCUUCAUGAAAAUUGAAAGAGAUGAAAAGAGAUUGGUAAGCAGCAGAAAUUAAUCGACAGGUUAAAAGGUGAGAGAGCCUCGAAUCUGCCAUGAAUUGAAAGAUACGUUUCAGUUUGUAUGUGCCCAGGGAAAUGGCUGUGUGAAACCCAUGAUUUUGUGCCCCUUCCCAGUGGGGAACUGUGAAACUCGACCCCCAAAGCCUUCCUUGCGGCGAGAAGAUGAAGAAACCCUCUCAACUUUUUUUUGGUUUAGAGUGUCCAUAGAGGUGAUCAAAUAGGUAUUUGGUCGGAAAAUAAAUUGAAUUUCAACCUAAAAAUGAUGUACUUGAAGGACAUCUUGAACGGACGCAAAUUUUUAAUAAUAUUUAGGAGUUACUCUUAUUGUAGUACAUUUGUUUUGAGGUUAAACUUUAUGUAUAUCAUUUGGCUUAUGUUAUACAAUUCAUGUAUCUCUUUUCAUGA